rnacentral:RNase_P_RNA from 1 species
CCUCGCGGUCGGGCAGCCGCUCCGGUUCAUCUUCACGAUGAGCGGGGGAGGAAAGUCCGGUCUCCAUAGGGCAGCAUGCCGGCUAACGGCCGGGGGGACUCGCUCAAAGCGGGUUUUACGGAAAGUGCCACAGAAAAUAUACCGCCAGUUCCUGCAAGGGAGCCGGUAAGGGUGAAAAGGUGCGGUAAGAGCGCACCGCGGCUGCGGUAACGCACGCCGGCAGGGCAAACCCCAUGUGGAGCAAGACCAAAUAGGGGAGGAGGAGCGGCCCGCUCCGUUACGACUUCCGGGUAGGUCGCUAGAGCUGGGGAGUAAUCUCCGGCCCAGAGGAAUGGUUGCCGCCCGUGGCGCAAGUUGCGGGUACAGAAACCGGCUUACAGUCCGCGAGGCCUU